rnacentral:rRNA from 1 species
UACGAAGGGGGCUAGCGUUGCUCGGAAUUACUGGGCGUAAAGCGCACGUAGGCGGCUUUCUAAGUCGGGGGUGAAAUCCUGGAGCUCAACUCCAGAACUGCCUUCGAUACUGGAGAGCUCGAGUCCGGGAGAGGUGAGUGGAACUGCGAGUGUAGAGGUGAAAUUCGUAGAUAUUCGCAAGAACACCAGUGGCGAAGGCGAGUCCCUGGACAACUUCUGACGCUGAGGCACGAAAGCUAGGGGAGCAAACAGG